CCAGGCAAUCUGCUGCUAAAGCCUGCUUCUGUGACAAAUUAUCAACCAGAACCUGGGUUGAUUAUGUGACCGCUCUGGCAAAAGCACUUUGACAACUGUAAGAUGAGAGGGCAUGCGCACACAGGGAACUGUGGGGGCUGAAGUCCUUCACAAGGUACUCGAUCUGACUUCAGCACGUUCAGCCGGGAAAGGAGGAAGUCUCACAAAUACAGAUUCUGAGGGGAAAAGGUUGUGUCCUGAUUACAUUAUAUCCUCCUAACCAAUCUAAAUCACGAGUUGUUGAAAUAAAAGGGAAAAAAAUAAACUGGUUUGUCAACUUGCCAUAGGAAGCCAGGAUAAAGGGAAACUGAAUUGUAGUAUUCAGAAUAAAUAAACCAAGCAGAGCUACCUUAAAUGGUUAGAAUGGUAAUGACUGGGUAGCUAGCAAUAGGAAUCCUACUAGAAAGAGACUGGGGUGGAGAGGAAUAGGCAAGGGAGGGGGAACUACUGGAGAAUGUUAGAUACUUAAAAUCUGACCAUACUUAAACACUUAAAUAAUUUUUUAAAUUUUUCAGCAGAGAUGGCAUAAAAGAAUCACUUUUAGUUUAGAAUAAAAAACACCUUAAUGUUAAAUGUGAUAUCAACCUUAGAGGUCAGGUAAAAAUAGAUUUUAGUCAUAAAUUUUUGACAUCCACCAGAUUUCUUGUAUUUUAGUUUUCAAUGCAGGAACAAAUCACUUAUUUUAAGAUUGUACCUGAUAAGCUCUGAACCAACUCACCUCCUUAUUUUUACUUGUCAAAAUAAAAGUUCACCUUGCAUUAUUCAUACAAAGGAUUACUCAAAUAAAAUUCAAC
rnacentral:lncRNA from 1 species